rnacentral:rRNA from 1 species
AAGACCUUGCGCUUUUGGAGCGGCCGAUGCCUGAUUAGCUUGUUGGUAAGGUAAAAGCUUACCAAGGCUUCGAUCAGUAGCUGGUCUGAGAGGACGACCAGCCACACUGGGACUGAGACACGGCCCAGACUCCUACGGGAGGCAGCAGUGGGGAAUUUUGGACAAUGGAGGCAACCCUGAUCCAGCCAUGCCGCGUGAGUGAAGAAGGCCUUCGGGUUGUAAAGCUCUUUCAGCCGGAACGAAACGGUUACGGUUAAUACCCGUGACUACUGACGGUACCGGAAGAAGAAGCACCGGCUAACUACGUGCCAGCAGCCGCGGUAAUACGUAGGGUGCGAGCGUUAAUCGGAAUUACUGGGCGUAAAGCGUGCGCAGGUGGUUUUGUAAGUCAGAUGUGAAAGCCCCGGGCUCAACCUGGGAACU